UUCCUCUUCCCGCGAGCCGUGUGUCUAAGGAAACGGAGAAGGAGUUCGGGUGUGCGUUGGAACGCUGGAUAGAGAGAGGGGACACGAGAAGCGGCGGCGGCGGCGGCGGGACGGAGUGGGGUAGAGGAAGGGAACCGGCCGCGAGGUGGGUAGGCGAGAGGGGUGGCGGGGGAGAGUAGAGAGUGUAGCGGAGGAGGAGGAGAGCGCGGAGCGGAAGGUGCGGCAGCGGCGGUGAUAGCGGCGAGGAGGAGAAGAAGGAACACGGGGAAGGUAGGGGAGAACACCGCCUGCUAGGAGAGCUGCUACCUACACCCUCUCCCUCUUAGGCCCUUCCACCCGCCCAGGCCCAGUUGUAUCCCAGCUAAAGCUCCGGAGAGUACCGGCGCGGGUGUGGUGGACACGAAGAGGGGAGGACGCCGCGUCGACGACGAAGACCUCGAGACAAGCCUUUCCUUAUGCAGAUCGGCGGCCGGUUACCUUCCGGGAGUAGCCGGAGGUUAGGGUACGUAGGUCGGGGACUAAGCACGUGCGCCGUUUUGCCGGCGACGACGGCCUCGCGGGAAGCAGUCGCUCCUCCGGGUCUCACUGUGGCGGCGGCCGCGGCCACGAGGGGUUGCAUCGGUGAGGCUGCUGCCGGUCCUAACAAUGACAGACAGAGUUCAAGGAACUUCAUUGCAUGUACGUGUACGGGCGCAGACUAAACAAGAGCACCAGCACAAGGACGGCAUCGACGCAGGUGCCAACACGUCCUCGUUAAAUUCUAACUUUUCCUACUACCCUCCUACGUUGACUGUGUCCUAUCGCUCGUUACCGGUACCGAGUUGCUGCCGCCUCUUCUACCACGUCACAGAACCGACCCCAAGCUAUACUACACACUGGACUCCGUUCGAGAUGUUACUGAGAUGAGGAAACCUCUAGUGUACAGAAAACAUCGUACAAUCCGAAACUAAAGUUAAGUUACUACACGAGACAAUAGUUGGAACAUUUUGACAGUGGAUAAACUAUUAUACCUGGAUUGGAACGAUACGGACUACUAACUUGUAAAAAACAAUUCGAACAAAUUGAGAUAAGUAUAAAAUUGUUGACUCGAUGAGAUCG
rnacentral:rRNA from 1 species